rnacentral:rRNA from 1 species
UACGUAGGUGGCAAGCGUUGUCCGGAUUUACUGGGCGUAAAGAGCGCGCAGGCGGCUGGUCAAGUCCGAUGUGAAAGCUCCCGGCUUAACUGGGAAACGGCAUCGGAAACUGAUCGGCUUGAAGGUGGGAGAGGGUAGUGGAAUUCCCGGUGUAGUGGUGAAAUGCGUAGAUAUCGGGAGGAACACCAGUGGCGAAGGCGACUUCCUGGACCAGUACCGACGUUCAGGCACGAAAGCGUGGGGAGCAAACAGG